GAUGAACGCUGGCGGCGUGCCUAAUACAUGCAAGUCGAGCGAACGGACGAGAAGCUUGCUUCUCUGAUGUUAGCGGCGGACGGGUGAGUAACACGUGGAUAACCUACCUAUAAGACUGGGAUAACUUCGGGAAACCGGAGCUAAUACCGGAUGAUAUUUUGAACCGCAUGGUUCAAAAGUGAAAGACGGUCUUGCUGUCACUUAUAGAUGGAUCCGCGCUGCAUUAGCUAGUUGGUAAGGUAACGGCUUACCAAGGCAACGAUGCAUAGCCGACCUGAGAGGGUGAUCGGCCACACUGGAACUGAGACACGGUCCAGACUCCUACGGGAGGCAGAGGUAGGGAAUCUUCCCAAUGGGCGAAAGCCUGACGGAGCAACGCCGCGUGAGUGAUGAAGGUCUUCGGAUCGUAAAACUCUGUUAUUAGGGAAGAACAUAUGUGUAAGUAACUGUGCACAUCUUGACGGUACCUAAUCAGAAAGCCACGGCUAACUACGUG
rnacentral:rRNA from 1 species